GAUGAACGCUGGCGGCGUGCCUAAUACAUGCAAGUCGAGCGAACAGACGAGGAGCUUGCUCCUUUGACGUUAGCGGCGGACGGGUGAGUAACACGUGGGUAACCUACCUAUAAGACUGGGAUAACUUCGGGAAACCGGAGCUAAUACCGGAUAAUAUUUCGAACCGCAUGGUUCGAUAGUGAAAGAUGGCUUUGCUAUCACUUAUAGAUGGACCUGCGUCGUAUUAGCUAGUUGGUAAGGUAACGGCUUACCAAGGCAACGAUACGUAGCCGACCUGAGAGGGUGAUCGGCCACACUGGAACUGAGACACGGUCCAGACUCCUACGGGAGGCAGCAGUAGGGAAUCUUCCGCAAUGGGCGAAAGCCUGACGGAGCAACGCCGCGUGAGUGAUGAAGGUCUUCGGAUCGUAAAACUCUGUUAUUGGGGAAGAACAAACGUGUAAGUAACUGUGCACGUCUUGACGGUACCUAAUCAGAAAGCCACGGCUAACUACGUG
rnacentral:rRNA from 1 species